CCUACGGGCGGCUGCAGUGGGGAAUAUUGCACAAUGGGCGCAAGCCUGAUGCAGCCAUGCCGCGUGUGUGAAGAGGGCCUUCGGGUUGUAAAGCACUUUCAGCGGGGAGGAAGGCGGUGAGGUUAAUAACCUCAUCGAUUGACGUUACCCGCAGAAGAAGCACCGGCUAACUCCGCGCCAGCAGCCGCGGUAAUACGGAGGGUGCAAGCGUUAAUCGGAAUUACUGGGCGUAAAGCGCACGCAGGCGGUCUGUCAAGUCGGAUGUGAAAUCCCCGGGCUCAACCUGGGAACUGCAUUCGAAACUGGCAGGCUAGAGUCUUGUAGAGGGGGGUAGAAUUCCAGGUGUAGCGGUGAAAUGCGUAGAGAUCUGGAGGAAUACCGGUGGCGAAGGCGGCCCCCUGGACAAAGACUGACGCUCAGGUGCGAAAGCGUGGGGAGCAAACAGGAUUAGAUACCCCUGUAGUC
rnacentral:rRNA from 1 species